rnacentral:tRNA from 1 species
GGAGAGGUGUCCGAGAGGCCGAAGGAGCACGCCUGGAAAGCGUGUGUAGGGUCAAACUUACCGUGGGUUCGAAUCCCACCCUCUCCG